CUCGAGGCGAAAGGAUGUGUGCUUAUACAGAGUGUAAAGUGUAUCAAGUGUAGAAUAAAUAAUAACAAGAAUAUUAGUUAUAUAAAUAUUAGGAGCCUAAAAAGUGUUUUGAUGAGUGCGUAUUUCACAAAAUCACAGCCAACUAAACCCUAUCUUUACAUAACCCUGUGGGGAAGGACCCUUCCGCCAUUUAUUGGCAUAAGGACUUUGUUUGUUUCAGUUUCUAUAGAAAUUUGGCAAUCGUCCUACGCACCAGGUUACGGUUGCCAUUUGCAUAUCGAUUGGAUAUAGGAAAUGGGUCUAGGACUGGUACUAAACUCCGUCAAAAAAGGUUACCUUCGUACGAAGUUCAGGCAGUUACGGAGAAGGGAUUCAAAGUUUAUUAAACUAAAUUUUUAAAUUCCUACACGGAAUCUUUCACUGGAAUUAUUGGAGGAAGUUAUGAUUUACGGGAUGUUAUUAAUAUGGAGGUUCCAUAAAAAGGGAUUACAUAUGAUUUAAUUUAUAUAAAGCUAAACCAAUCUUUAAAAAAUUUUAAUGUCUACACAGCAGCUGAAAAUAAUAAUUUAAAAAUAUUUAAUUUAUUCCACAUAGAAAGCUCUCAAAUUACAUCCAUACAUCACAAUCCAAAAUUUUUAUACUUUUUUACGUCAAGCUAAGAGAGAUUAAUUUUUUAAGUAAAAUAGAUAGUUUAUUUAUGCUUUACACUAUUUAAACCCCUGUUAAAGUCUUUGUUUCGAUUUAAAUAACUAAAUUUUUACAAAUCAAACGAGUGUGGUGAUGCAGCUGAAUGCACCGAUCUAGGGUCGAAUAAAAAAAGCAUGCUCGUUAAGAUCAAAAGAUUGAUGUCUAUGGGGUCGCCCGCGAGUCAUAAAGUGGUAGUGCUGGCAGCGGUGCCCAAAACCCAAAUGAGCCGGUCCGCUUUGGUGGCGAGCUCUUUGAUUGGAACGCCUCUUGAUGCGACAUGCAUAUCAAUUAAUUACGACUGUUACAUUUGGCUGGGCCUCGGUGGACACCGCGUCAGGCGGGAUUGGGUAAUGCGAUUGGGGAUAUUACAACAGAAUACAAGACCUGGGGGCGAUUGCAAAUCGCUGGGCAGUCGGAUAUCGGACGCACUCCUACCGAACCCGUGCAGUUGGCUGAAUUUAUUC